AUAUCCAGCGCUAAUUUUGAGCCGAUGAAAAGGGAAAGGACUGAGAAAAACGGGAAAUUGUGAAAUUCAAGACUUCCUUCAAGAUAUCACACCGGUAAUUAUUUUCACUAUAUAUUACUAUAGAGGGGAAAAAAUCAUUUAAAAUCAGUUUACAAAAUUGAUGCCGAAUAACGCAGUCAGACACGUUCUAUGUUACCCAUCUCGUCUGCCGACACCAGAAAAACAACACCCUACGCGGCAUUUUCGAAAAUAAAUUACUCGCAAACAAGACUACCCUCAAAUCCACGUGUUUUUCACAUGUGUGUAAACAGUCGGAGUGCACCUCAGGAAGUAGCCUCAGCUACCAACAACAAAUAGUUCCUUUAUAUACACUUGGUUAUUUCUACAAAUUAUACAAAAUUUCCUAAUCAGGGGUACAAAAAUUAAGAGAAAAGAAGAAGAGGAAUUGAGAAAAAUCGCGCAAGGAAAAAAAUAUUUCUUUAAAUAUAUGGAACUACAAUUGACUAAGUUCAUUUUGAUUGGACAAUUACUGGUGUGAUACCUGAAGAGACUCCCAACCAUUAAAAUAUAAUUCAUGAUAGAUACAGAAUUUAUAUGGUGUGACCACUGACCUGGCUGGUUUCAAUAUGCCAUUCUGAGAAUUACACUAUGCAGACCUGGAUCAAUGUUUAUAUACAUUGUAGUUCCAAAGUGAAUUUACCCUGAAGUGUCUUCAGUUCAUGCACAUUUUAGAAUGUACGUCAUCAAUGUUCUCCCAAAAGAAAGUGAGCAAAAACUUAUCCAAAGAAUCAACAGCACAUUUUUGUGAAACUUAUUAAAAUGUGCAGGUAAUAUUGCUGUUAAAAUAUUUUGUAUCCUAUGAUCUGUAAUAAAAUACAAUGUAUAAGUGGCAUAUUGAUAUACCUUUAACUUCGUUAUAACUUUUCAACUAAAAUGGGUAGGGAUUUUAUAUUUGCCAUUUUUAUUGUUUGUGACAAGAAAAAAUUGUUUUAAUAUAUAUACAAACUGUAUAUAUAAAAGUACCUUAAUGACCUUUUGACCUACUAAGGCUUUCUGAAGGUACCAAAUUUGAUCUUCUGACCUUGACAUGAAUUUUGACCUACUUGUCUUGAAAAGCGUUAAGUUUGGGGGCAUCCAUGGUUCACAUUCAUGUCUUGUUGCUGUUCAGACUAUGAAAAGAUGUUGCUGUUAAGAACGAUUAUCUAGCACAACCAUUUAAUGCAAAGUUAACCUAAGUUCAAACACAGGUGCUUGUGGACAGGACUUCCGGUACCCCCCUUCUUUUAUUUUUAAAUGUUCAAUUUCUUGCGUAUUUCGGACGUAUUUUGGAUAAAAUAUGUAACUUCAGAGUUUAUCUAUUUCAAUGGAAUACACAAAUCUCGCAUAGAAACCGUUUUUAAAAAUGUCAUAUCACCGAUCAUAAUAUAUGAACAAGGUGUGCAACUCAGCCAGCGACAUGUUGAAAAAAUCUACACCUCGCUGAGAAAUCCUAUCGAAAAAACACCAAUAAUGCAUAUACCAACUGAAAAGAACGGUCAUUCUAAAUCUACUGAUGAUUCGUGGAUUAAAUGCCUCGCUAUUUGGUGCGCAAUAACUACUUCACACCGCUCAAUUUCAUCGUUUUAACCUCGCCACUUCUCAUUUCUGACUAUAACGAACGGAAGUUGUAAUGCUGGAAUAUUUCUGUCGCAGCCAACUAAUUUUAGAACGAGAAAACCCGAGACGAGGUCUUCCGAAUACCAUUAGCUACACGAAAAGGGAAGAGAAUACCGAUCAUAGUAAUCAAGUCUAGCCAAAGAGGAUUUUACAAAUACAGUACCUGAAUAGUACCUAAAAUAGUACCAUAAUUGUACCUAAAAUGUACCCGAAAAGUUUCUGAAAUGGUACCAGGAUUGUACCUUAAAAGUACUCAAAAUGUACCUGGAUUGUAUCAAUAAUGUACCCAUAAUAUACCCUGAAAAUGUAUCGAAGAAA